AAAAUUGAGUUCCAAAUUCUCUUCCUCUCUCACUAUUUUUGUACAUGAACUCCUCUGCUUUGGUUAAACUAGUCCCUUUUUUAUUCUUGUGUUUUCUCUGUGGACUUCAUAAAGCACUCUAUACCUCCUCUCAUAAUUUGUCUCAUAAUCUAGCUAUAUAUAACAACACAUUCUCCUACAAUAAUGAACUCCAUGAAGGCAGGAACCAUGUCAUAAUAGAAAAAACCCUGGAUUUGGAGUUAUAGAAAUAGACAAAAUUCCCCUCCCAAAGAUUGGCUUUAGCAAGUAUUCUGAAGUUGGCAGCUUCCAGGAAACCUCCACGCUGUCCUUAUCUUAAUAUUCUUUACCAAGAUUCCUUUUAUUGCAUCAUAAACUUCCCUGACAUGUUUGAAAGUACCACAUCAGUACUCAUCUCUUUAGGAAGAGCCCUACUUCAAGCACAUCUGGCAAGAAGAUGGAUCAGAAAAUAGAGCACUAAGCUGGAAGGGUUAGACCCGAGUUCAAAGACAUUUUUUUUUUAGCUGUGUGACCCUGGGCAUGCCACUUAACAUCUGUUUGCAUUAAUCUGCCAGAGAAGGGAAUGGUAAACCACUCCAGUGUCUGCCAAGAAAACUCCUUGAACAGUAUGGCCCAUGGGAUCAUGAAGAAUCAGACAUGACUGAAAAACAAGUAUUUGGAGAACAGAAUAAUA